AAGUCGUAACAAGGUUUCCGUAGGUGAACCUGCGGAAGGAUCAUUGCCGAUCGGACGCCACGCUGAGCUUUCGCGAGCUCUUCGUGGUGUCUUUUUCGACCAACCCAUGUGAACUCGUUUUAUGUGUUUAACAAAGCCCGCUCACGCACAUUCGUGUGUGUGUGCGGCUUUGUCCAAACAUUUUAUAACAAACCACAUCAUAUUGAACUCUUGACUGAGACAAUACAGGUCACGCCUAAAAACGUUGAUCUCAAAAACCUAACCAUUACAACUUUUAACAACGGAUAUCUUGGCUCGC
rnacentral:misc_RNA from 1 species